UACAGAGGGGGCGAGCGUUGUUCGGAAUUACUGGGCGUAAAGGGCGCGUAGGCGGCCCGCUAAGUCGAACGUGAAAUCCCCGGGCUCAACCUGGGAACUGCGUCCGAUACUGGCAGGCUUGAAUCCGGGAGAGGGAUGUGGAAUUCCAGGUGUAGCGGUGAAAUGCGUAGAUAUCUGGAGGAACACCGGUGGCGAAGGCGGCAUCCUGGACCGGUAUUGACGCUGAGACGCGAAAGCGUGGGGAGCAAACAGG
rnacentral:rRNA from 1 species